UACGAAGGGGGCGAGCGUUGUUCGGAUUUACUGGGCGUAAAGGGCGCGCAGGCGGCGCAUUUUGUCAGGCGUGAAAGCCCCGGGCUUAACCUGGGACUGCGUUUGAUACGGAUGGGCUAGAGUUCGGGAGAGGAGAGUGGAAUUCCCAGUGUAGAGGUGAAAUUCGUAGAUAUUGGGAAGAACACCGGUGGCGAAGGCGGCUCACUGGCCCGGUACUGACGCUGAGGUGCGAAAAGCGUGGGGAGCAACAGG
rnacentral:rRNA from 1 species